rnacentral:rRNA from 1 species
CACUUUGUCUUUAUGGCAAAUGUGAGAUGCAGUGUAUGGAAUGUCAAAUUUCUAGUAUGAGAAAUUAAUGAUUUAAGUCCUUCUUAAAUGAGGCCAUUUACCCAUAGAGGGUGCCAGGCCCGUAUAACGUUAAUGAUUACUAGAUGGCAUUUCCAAAGAGUCGUGUUGCUUGAUAGUGCAGCACUAAGUGGGUGGUAAACUCCAUCUAAAACUAAAUAUAACCAUGAGACCGAUAGUAAACAAGUACCGUGAGGGAAAGUUGAAAAGAACUCUGAAUAGAGAGUUAAAUAGUACGUGAAACUGCUUAGAGGUUAAGCCCGAUGAACCUGAAUAUCCAUUAUAGAAAAUUCAUCAUUAUGAUUUAAAUAUUUGCAAUAUUUUAAUAAUGGUGUGCAUUUUUUCUAUAGAGGACAUUGUAAUCUAUUAACAUAAAUUUAAAUUUAUCAUAAGAUCAAUUUGCGUAAGUUUAUUUAAAUUAUUUUGCUUGCAAUUUAACAUAGAAUAAAUGCUUUUUGAUUUGAUAAAGUGUUGAUAGAUUUAUUAUAUAUAGUGCUUAAAUAUAUAUAUUUUAUAGUAGCAUACUGCUUAUUUUCUUAAGCAUUGUUGUUCACUAUAUGCACUUAUAUGAUUAACAAUGCGAAAGAUUCAGGAUACCUUCGGGACCCGUCUUGAAACACGGACCAAGGAGUCUAACAUAUUUGCAAGUUAUUGGGAAUAAAAACCUAAUAGCGAAAUUAACAUAACUUAAAGUAUAAUGGGAUUAGUUUUUAGCCUAUUUAUAGUCUAUUAAUUCAAUCCCGGGGCGUUCUAUACAGUUAUGUAUAAUAAUAUUUAUAUUAUUUAUACCUCUAACUAGAACGUACCUUGAGCAUAUAUGCUGUGACCCGAAAGAUGGUGAACUAUACUUGAUCAGGUUGAAGUCAGGGGAAACCCUGAUGGAAGACCGAAACAGUUCUGACGUGCAAAUCGAUUGUCAGAAUUGCAGUAUAGGG